CGCGUAGGCGGUCCGAUAAGUCCCGUGUGAAAUCCCUCGGCUCAACUGAGGAAUGGCACGGGAAACUGACGGGCUUGAGUUCGGGAGAGGGAAGCGGAAUUCCGGGUGUAGCGGUGAAAUGCGUAGAUAUCCGGAGGAACACCGGUGGCGAAGGCGGCUUCCUGGACCGACACUGACGCUGAGGCGCGAAAGCUAGGGGAGCAAAACGG
rnacentral:rRNA from 1 species